CUUGGUCAUUUAGAGGAAGUAAAAGUCGUAACAAGGUCUCCGUUGGUGAACCAGCGGAGGGAUCAUUACGAGAGUGUCACCACUCCCCAACCCAUUGUUUACCUACCCGUCCACCGUGCUUCGGCAGGCAGCCCUGUGGGACAGAGCCUCGCCCCCUUCGCGGGGGGUGCCUGCCGCUGGCCAACCAGCAAACUCUAGCUGUUUUAGUACCAUCUGAGUCUUCCACAAAUGAACAAAACUUUCAACAACGGAUCUCUUGGUUCUGGCAUCGAUGAAGAACGCAGCGAAAUGCGAUAAGUAAUGUGAAUUGCAGAGUUCAGUGAAUCAUCGAAUCUUUGAACGCACAUUGCGCCCACUAGUAUUCUGGUGGGCAUGCCUGUUCGAGCGUCAUUUCAACCCUCAAGCCUGGCUUGGUGUUGGGGCUCUGCGCAACGCAGUCCCUUAAAUUCAGUGGCGGACACGCUAGGUCUCCGAGCGCAGUAGUUUCUUCUCGCUUCGGGCGUCCGGCGUGGGCUUGCCUCGCACCCAACUUCUCAAGGUUGACCUCGGAUCAGGUAGGAAUACCCGCUGAACUUAAGCAUAUCAAUAAGCGGAGGA
rnacentral:rRNA from 1 species